rnacentral:rRNA from 1 species
GACUCUCGGCAACGGAUAUCUCGGCUCACGCAUCGAUGAAGAACGUAGCAAAAUGCGAUACUUGGUGUGAAUUGCAGAAUCCCGUGAACCAACGAGUUUUUGAACGCAAGUUGCGCCCAAAGCCUUUCGGCUGAGGGCACGUCUGCCUGGGCGUCACAC